rnacentral:rRNA from 1 species
CCUACGGGUGGCAGCAGUGAGGAAUAUUGGUCAAUGGACGAGAGUCUGAACCAGCCAAGUCGCGUGAGGGAUGACGGCCCUACGGGUUGUAAACCUCUUUUGCCGGGGAGCAACGGGCGCCACGUGUGGCGCCACUGAGUGUACCUGAAGAAAAAGCAUCGGCUAACUCCGUGCCAGCAGCCGCGGUAAUACGGAGGAUGCGAGCGUUAUCCGGAUUUAUUGGGUUUAAAGGGUGCGCAGGCGGUCUGUUAAGUCAGCGGUCAAAGCCCGGGGCUCAACCCCGGCCCGCCGUUGAAACUGGCAGUCUCGAGUUGGAGAGAAGUAUGCGGAAUGCGCGGUGUAGCGGUGAAAUGCAUAGAUAUCGCGCAGAACUCCGAUUGCGAAGGCAGCAUGCCGGCUCCACACUGACGCUGAGGCACGAAAGCGUGGGUAUCGAACAGGAUUAGAUACCCCUGUAGUC